rnacentral:lncRNA from 1 species
GGUGAAUUCUCAAGACUGAAUGUGGGAGCUGUGUCAUUCUAUACAAACUGCUCUUAUUUAAGUGUUAAGUUUUAUUUUUAAAAGCUCUGCUGUCCCUUGAUAGAAGGAGGGAGUGGAAGUGGGAAGAGGCAAUGUGUGAACAAGGUUAGAAGCAGAAAGAAAAAGGAAAGAGAGAAAAAAAGGGUGUCUUCUGAGCUCAGGGUCCAGCACAGCAUAGCUGGGAACACCGUCCACCACGGGAUGAAGCUGAGGAGGAAGGUUGAAGAUUUUUCCUGGUUAUCUGUGAGUGGAAAUUAUGAUUGUUGUAAAGAAGUAACAACUUUGGAAACAUGGAGGGUGCAGCAGAAGAGGAUUAAGGAAGAAAAGAACAAGUCAAAGUCAGAGAGGAAGUAAAGGACAGAAUACAGUGUAUCAUCAUCAUCAUCAUCAUCAUCAUCAUCAUCAUCAUCAUCAUCAUCAUCAUCAUCAUCAUCCCCAGAUACAAG